UCUAAAAUGAUAAAACCCUAAAUUGCAUCUAUAAAUCAUCGCCAAUUUCAUUUUAUCUUCCAGAAGAUCUCACUGCUGUGACGAAUUACAGUUUCGCUUCCGUUCUCGUUUUCUAUUAUUUGGUAUUUUCGGAGAGGAAUUCGAGGAAGAAAACUGGGUAUCUACUUGUAUUACGAUAUUUGGAGAUCAAAAUUGUACAGAAGGAAUAAAGAAACUUUUACACUAUCCAAUGGAGAUCAAAAUUGUACAGAGAAGUUUUACACUAUCCAAAACAAAACACACGAUACUUGGAGAUCAAUAUUGUACAGAGAAAGGAAUAAAGAAACUUGUUACACUUUUCGAAACAAAACACGAGAGUAGCUCUGUUUCCUAAAAGUGUGCCUAUGUACAUUUGUUUUUCUUUGUCUACGUAUUCUUCCAUCUGUGGAGUACAGUUAGUGAUAUCAAUAAAUAAUAAUUUUGCAAA